UACGUAGGGUGCAAGCGUUAUCCGGAAUUAUUGGGCGUAAAGGGCGCGUAGGCGGUGCGGUAAGUCUGAUGUGAAAUCUCCGGGCUCAACUCGGAGUCUGCAUCAGAAACUGCCGUGCUCGAGUGUGGGAGAGGUGAGUGGAAUUCCCGGUGUAGCGGUGGAAUGCGCAGAUAUCAGGAAGAACACCCGUGGCGAAGGCGGCUCUCUGGAACGCAACUGACGCUGAGACGCGAAAGCGUGGGGAGCAAACAGG
rnacentral:rRNA from 1 species